UCCGGCGUAGCUCAAUGGUGGAGCAAGCGGCUGUUAACCGCAAGGUUGUAGGUUCGAGUCCUACCGCCGGAGCCA
rnacentral:tRNA from 2 species